ACGUUAGCGGCGGACGGGUGAGUAACACGUGGGUAACCUACCUAUAAGACUGGGAUAACUUCGGGAAACCGGAGCUAAUACCGGAUAAUAUUUCGAACCGCAUGGUUCGAUAGUGAAAGAUGGUUUUGCUAUCACUUAUAGAUGGACCCGCGCCGUAUUAGCUAGUUGGUAAGGUAACGGCUUACCAAGGCGACGAUACGUAGCCGACCUGNGAGGGUGAUCGGCCACACUGGAACUGAGACACGGUCCAGACUCCUACGGGAGGCAGCAGCG
rnacentral:rRNA from 1 species